UACGUAGGGUCCGAGCGUUGUCCGGAAUUAUUGGGCGUAAAGGGCUCGUAGGCGGUUUGUCGCGUCGGGCGUGAAAACACCGGGCUUAACUCGGUGCUUGCUUUCGAUACGGGCAGACUAGAGGCAUGCAGGGGAGAACGGAAUUCCUGGUGUAGCGGUGAAAUGCGCAGAUAUCAGGAGGAACACCGGUGGCGAAGGCGGGUCUCUGGGCAGUACCUGACGCUGAGGAGCGAAAGUGUGGGGAGCGAACAGG
rnacentral:rRNA from 1 species